rnacentral:lncRNA from 1 species
AUGAAGGAAGAAAUUGAUCUCUCAGCACUCCUGGACCUAACCCUUGGCCUUCCUGGAGGUAGGGUUAACCAUUGCCCAGAACCAGACCAACUUUCCACUGCCCUCACUUUGUGUGAUCCAACUUGGAAUUACGACACACACCAGAGAAAAGAAGAGGAAUAUUUAGACCCUGCUCCUCUCAGAUUUGCCCUUCCUAAUCCGGAACACGAGAAAAUGUCGGGUACGAAUGAUAUCAACAAGGAAUUAAAGAAGAAGAAGAGAAACCAAGCAGUGCCGGAUACGGUGAGUCUACAGCCUCAGGAUGAGAGGCCUUGGAAAAUCAGGAAGCAGCUGACAGUAAGCGACAUUGGAAACUGCUCAAGGCUACUGAUGCCGAAAAAAUCGGUCAUCGACCAUGUUAUGUGUUACUUGGAUGACAAGUUUGCCAAAAGGGUUAUGAGCGGGGAGGGCAUAGGAGUUAUGGUUGUAGACUGCGACACAAACACCGGGCAUUACUUGAAUUUCAAGCUUUGGGGGUCGGCCGAGUUUUACAUUCUCAACGGAGAUUGGAGGCAAGAGUUUGUGCACAGGAGAGGCUUGAAGGAGAAGGAUAGAAUUGGGCUUUAUUGGGAUACCUCCAAAUCCAUGUUCAUGUUUUCUGUUCUUGAAAGGGCAAUCCAAUCCCAAUUCCCUGCUUGA